ensembl:lncRNA
GUGUGAUCGUGCAUGGCCUGGGUCCUGUGGAACAUGGUCAUGGAGGCAGGUGUUCUUGGGUGCCUGGGGCAGGCUCGUACAAAGGGGUGGUCGGGCACUAGUGGAGUCAGCUGCCCCUGGCCUGUGGUUCUCCGGGAUUCUCAGCCUUCGUCUGGGGGAGCCCCAUCUGGGGCUCCUGGGGCCAUUAUUGCAGCUUCCCACGCUGUCACUUGGUGUUCGCUCGCUUUGUGAACUGAAGAAGCUUCUCGGAUGAGAGGUGAAACGUCUUCAAGCAACUUAAAGAAGUCCAGACGCUUUUCUUUGCAAACUCCUUUGACUACGAUGACCUGGAUGACUGAGAACCUUCACAGACACCUGUUUGUAGGUUUCUCUGGAGCAGUGCUGGGAUCGUGC